rnacentral:rRNA from 1 species
UACAGAGGGUGCGAGCGUUGUUCGGAAUUAUUGGGCGUAAAGGGCGCGUAGGCGGUGCGGUAAGUCACCUGUGAAAUCUCCUGGCUCAACUGGGAGCUUGCAGGCGAAACUGCCGUGCUGGAGUGUGGGAGAGGUGCGUGGAAUUCCCGGUGUAGCGGUGAAAUGCGUAGAUAUCGGGGAGGAACACCUGUGGCGAAAGCGGCGCACUGGACCACAACUGACGCUGAGGCGCGAAAGCUAGGGGAGCAAACAGG